GGCGGCGUAGCUCAGCUGGUUAGAGCAUCGGAUUCAUAAACCGAAGGUCGUUGGUUCAAGUCCAACCGCCGCUACCA
rnacentral:tRNA from 1 species